UGUGCGCAGCCACGCAGCGGUUUCCAAUCCCCACUCCUCGCCGCCAAGUGGGAGCGGCCGAUCGAGGCUACGCCAUGCGCAGGAGUGGCCGUGCCGAUCGACGCGACUACGCCGGCUUCGUGAAUCGAUCUCGGCAAGAACGUGAUCUACUUUGUCCAAUCCUUCGUCUAGACUUCAGAUUGCAGCCAAUUCUAGUUCUGUCUGGGAUAUUCAAUCUUAGUAUCUAAUGACGUAUUUUGGAGUUUCGAAAUGGAAGACAUCAUUUUCAAGUAACUUUAUUUGUUGUUUCCUUGUUAUUUUAAGCAUUUGAUGGCUAUGUUUUGUAUUUAAUUAGUCUUCUAUUAUGUCAGGUAUAAGUUAUAAAACACACUUUUAUUUACUAUUGUCGUUACUUGAAAUUUUACACCAUGUUAAAGUGGUGCAUCAGGGUAACAUUUGCUCCAGCUCCGCCCCUGA